rnacentral:rRNA from 1 species
GACCCUGGCUCAGGAUGAACGCUAGCUACAGGCUUAACACAUGCAAGUCGAGGGGCAGCAUGGUCUUAGCUUGCUAAGGCCGAUGGCGACCGGCGCACGGGUGAGUAACACGUAUCCAACCUGCCGUCUACUCUUGGACAGCCUUCUGAAAGGAAGAUUAAUACAAGAUGGCAUCAUGAGUUCACAUGUUCACAUGAUUAAAGGUAUUCCGGUAGACGAUGGGGAUGCGUU